rnacentral:rRNA from 1 species
AUUGAACGCUGGCGGCAUGCUUUACACAUGCAAGUCGAACGGUAACAGGCCGCAAGGUGCUGACGAGUGGCGAACGGGUGAGUAAUGCAUCGGAACGUGCCCAGUCGUGGGGGAUAACGCAGCGAAAGCUGUGCUAAUACCGCAUACGAUCUAUGGAUGAAAGCGGGGGACCGUAAGGCCUCGCGCGAUUGGAGCGGCCGAUGCCAGAUUAGGUAGUUGGUGGGGUAAAGGCCUACCAAGCCAACGAUCUGUAGCUGGUCUGAGAGGACGACCAGCCACACUGGGACUGAGACACGGCCCAGACUCCUACGGGAGGCAGCAGUGGGGAAUUUUGGACAAUGGCGCAAGCCUGAUCCAGCAAUGCCGCGUGCGGGAAGAAGGCCUUCGGGUUGUAAACUGCUUUUGUACGGAACGAAACGGUCUGGGUUAAUACCCUGGACUAAUGACGGUACCGUAAGAAUAAGCACCGGCUAACUACGUGCCAGCCGCCGCAGUAAUAC